AUUGAACGCUGGCGGCAGGCUUAACACAUGCAAGUCGAGCGGGGAGAUGUAGCUUGCUACAUUUCCUAGCGGCGGACGGGUGAGUUAUGCUUAGGAAUCUGCCUAUUAGUGGGGGACAACGUUUCGAAAGGAACGCUAAUACCGCAUACGCCCUACGGGGGAAAGCAGGGGAUCUUCGGACCUUGCGCUAAUAGAUGAGCCUAGGUCAGAUUAGCUAGUUGGUGGGGUAAAGGCCUACCAAGGCGACGAUCUGUAGCGGGUCUGAGAGGAUGAUCCGCCACACUGGGAAUGAGACACGGCCCAGACUCCAACGGGAGGCAGCCGUGGGGAAUAUUGGACAAUGGGGGGAACCCUGAUCCAGCCAUGCCGCGUGUGUGAAGAAGGCCUUUUGGUUGUAAAGCACUUUAAGCGAGGAGGAGGCUACUAGUACUAAUACUACUGGAUAGUGGACGUUGCUCGCAGAAUAAGCACCGGCUAACUCUGUGCCAGCCGCCGCAGUAAGAC
rnacentral:rRNA from 1 species